GUCACUAUAGCUUAGUGGUAGAGUGUACGAUUGCAAUAUUCCAAGCAUAAAUGAUUGAACAUCGUGAGGUCCCGUGUUCGAACCACGGUAGUGACU